CCUCGUCGUCUGCUCUUUGAGC
rnacentral:miRNA from 1 species